AUCGAACCCCCGACCCUGGAGGUGUGAGGCGAACAUGCUAACCACUAAGCCACCGUGCCAUGAGGCUGGCAGGUGGGGAAAAAAAUCACAGUCUACUCACUACAAAAAACUAGACUACACCACUGCAGAAACGCUAAGCUCCACCCACAUUAGCUGUCACAUGGUAUAUACUGAGACACUCUGUUGUUGACGGACAUCAAUUUCCUUCAUCAACCUUCUAAACCAAACCCACUAUAGCAGAAACGAUCUGCAUCACUGCAGAGGUUCUGAUUGGAACCCUUUAUGACGUCUCAGAGAGAUUCUAGGUGUCCUCGAAGGUUCUACUUUUUCUAUACAGGAACCUUUCUGUGGUUGGUUCUAGACAUUAGUAGUAAGGGUUCCCCAAGACACACCAGCUGAAGAACCCCAUACCUUUUUGAGGGGUCCCAGAGAGAACCUUUUAUUUGGGCAGUCCUUAUAAUAGGUUCUACUAGGGAACCUUUCUGAAAUGGAAUCCCUGUGCUGUAGGUUACUCCAGGCACAAGCUGAAGAACCAGUAUGGAGACAAAAAUAUUCUUUUAAUAUUCUGUUAAACAUGGCCCAAAACUUGGUGGUAUAAUUUUUGAGAACAAAGCUCUUUAUUGUCUGGUGUUCUGAAAGAUUCUUUGUACAAUUACUGGUUCUAGCGCAGUUUAGAAUAGAAUAGGAUAGAACGUGGCACAGAAGCCUUUAUUAUCGCCACAUGUACAUUACAGCACAGUGGAAUUCUUUUCUACACAUACCACAACUGAGGAGGUUGGGGUCAAAGUGCAGGGGCAGCUAUGAUACAGCACCCCUGGAGCGGGGUUGAGGGCCUUGCUCAAGGGCCCAGCAGUGGCAGCUUGGCUGUGCGGGGGCUUGAACCCCGAUCCUUCACCCAGAGCCUUAACCAGUUGAGCCAGCACUGUUUAGGGGUUCACUUUACUCAGAACACUUUACCAAUGGGGAUCUUUUUGUUUUAGGGUUUUUGAGACACGUUUCUGGAGACGCAAAUUGAAGUGUGUGUGUGUGUGUGUGUGUGUGUGUGUGUGUGUGUGUGUGUGUGUGUGUGUGUGUGUGUGUGUGUGUGUGUAGUUAUUGUAAAACAGGAGAGAGACACUGACACACCUGACACAGGUAUAUUAAACACUACAACAAUGAGGAAUAAGGACCUGGAGCAUCUAGGGAUCGGGGCUGAGGGGCAGAUGAAGUGUCGCUGGUGUUCGGUCCCACGAGCGAGUCUGUCAUGUUCGAUUCCCUCUCAGUCAGCUGCUAAAAUUCAACAGCCAAUCAGAGCGUUUUGAACGAAUCGUCGUGAUUUGCAUAAACAUACGCUCAUGUUAUCAGAUAUCAGGUUUCACUAGACGACUUUAUUUGCACAAUUCUGCUUGUAUCGAAGGUUGCGGUUAAGGGGCGGAGUUUACGAUGUUGUCUUUUAUAUUCCGUCGUGUGUUUGUUUGGGUUUGAUCGAAAUCCAUCCAGACCCGUGUUACUCCUCUAGAUUAAUAAAUAUGUAUGAGAUCAGGUUACCAUGGCAAUUUCCUGGAUGUAAAGCAUCUCACUGUACUGUACAUAUGUAUGUGUGUCACGACAAUAAAGGGUGUUUCUUUUUAAAUAAAUACGAAAACGGUUUA